rnacentral:rRNA from 1 species
UAAGGAAUAUUGGUCAAUGGACGCAAGUCUGAACCAGCCAUGCCGCGUGAAGGAUGAAGGUCCUCUGGAUUGUAAACUUCUUUUAUAGGGGGCGAAAAAAGGGAAAUCUUUCUCACUUGACAGUACCCUAUGAAUAAGCACCGGCUAACUCCGUGCCAGCAGCCGCGGUAAUACGGAGGGUGCAAGCGUUAUCCGGAUUCACUGGGUUUAAAGGGUGCGUAGGCGGGCGUAUAAGUCAGUGGUGAAAUCCUGGAGCUUAACUCCAGAACUGCCAUUGAUACUAUAUGUCUUGAAUAUGGUGGAGGUAAGCGGAAUAUGUCAUGUAGCGGUGAAAUGCAUAGAUAUGACAUAGAACACCUAUUGCGAAGGCAGCUUACUACGCCUAUAUUGACGCUGAGGCACGAAAGCGUGGGGAUCAAAACAGGAUUAGAUACCCCUGGUAGUCCACGCCCUAAAACGAUGAUUACUCGACGUGUGCGAUAAACGGUACGCGUCUGAGCGAAAGCAUUAAGUAAUCCACCUGGGGAAGUACGACCGCAAGGUUGAAACUCAAAUGAAUUGACGGGGUCAUAGCUGUUUCCUG